rnacentral:rRNA from 1 species
GGGCCCGCACAAGCGGUGGAGCAUGUGGUUUAAUUCGACGCAACGCGCAGAACCUUACCAGCCCUUGACAUGCCGUGCUACUUGCAGAGAUGCAGGGUUCCAGCAAUGGACGCGGACACAGGUGCUGCAUGGCUGUCGUCAGCUCGUGUCGUGAGAUGUUGGGUUAAGUCCCGCAACGAGCGCAACCCUUGCCUUCAGUUGCCAUCAUUCAGUUGGGCACUCUGGAGGGACUGCCGGCGGUAAGCCGGAGGAAGGUGGGGAUGACGUCAAGUCCUCAUGGCCCUUACGGGCUGGGCUACACACGUGCUACAAUGGUGGCGACAGAGGGCGCAGGCGAGAGCGCAAGCUUUAGCAAAUCCUCAAAAGCCAUCUCAGUUCAGAUUGCGCUCUGCAACUCGGGCGCAUGAAGGUGGAAUCGCUAGUAAUCGCAGAACAGCAGGCUGCGGUGAAUACGUUCCCGGGCCUU